rnacentral:rRNA from 1 species
GAGUUUGAUCAUGGCUCAGAUUGAACGCUGGCGGCAGGCCUAACACAUGCAAGUCGAACGGUAACAGGAAGCAGCUUGCUGCUUCGCUGACGAGUGGCGGACGGGUGAGUAAUGUCUGGGAAGCUGCCUGAUGGAGGGGGAUAACUACUGGAAACGGUAGCUAAUACCGCAUAAUGUCGCAAGACCAAAGAGGGGGACCUUCGGGCCUCUUGCCAUCGGAUGUGCCCAGAUGGGAUUAGCUUGUUGGUGGGGUAACGGCUCACCAAGGCGACGAUCCCUAGCUGGUCUGAGAGGAUGACCAGCCACACUGGAACUGAGACACGGUCCAGACUCCUACAGGAGGCAGCAGUGGGGAAUAUUGCACAAUGGGCGCAAGCCUGAUGCAGCCAUGCCGCGUGUAUGAAGAAGGCCUUCGGGUUGUAAAGUACUUUCAGCGGGGAGGAAGGGAGUAAAGUUAAUACCUUUGCUCAUUGACGUUACCCGCAGAAGAAGCACCGGCUAACUCCGUGCCAGCAGCCGCGGUAAUACGGAGGGUGCAAGCGUUAAUCGGAAUUACUGGGCGUAAAGCGCACGCAGGCGGUUUGUUAAGUCAGAUGUGAAAUCCCCGGGCUCAACCUGGGAACUGCAUCUGAUACUGGCAAGCUUGAGUCUCGUAGAGGGGGGUAGAAUUCCAGGUGUAGCGGCGAAAUGCGUAGAGAUCUGGAGGAAUACCGGUGGCGAAGGCGGCCCCCUGGACGAAGACUGACGCUCAGGUGCGAAAGCGUGGGGAGCAAACAGGAUUAGAUACCCUGGUAGUCCACGCCGUAAACGAUGUCGACUUGGAGGUUGUGCCCUUGAGGCGUGGCUUCCGGAGCUAACGCGUUAAGUCGACCGCCUGGGGAGUACGGCCGCAAGGUUAAAACUCAAAUGAAUUGACGGGGGCCCGCACAAGCGGUGGAGCAUGUGGUUUAAUUCGGUGCAACGCGAAGAACCUUACCUGGUCUUGACAUCCACGGAAGUUUUCAGAGAUGAGAAUGUGCCUUCGGGAACCGUGAGACAGGUGCUGCAUGGCUGUCGUCAGCUCGUGUUGUGAAAUGUUGGGUUAAGUCCCGCAACGAGCGCAACCCUUAUCCUUUGUUGCCAGCGGUCCGGCCGGGAACUCAAAGGAGACUGCCAGUGAUAAACUGGAGGAAGGUGGGGAUGACGUCAAGUCAUCAUGGCCCUUACGACCAGGGCUACACACGUGCUACAAUGGCGCAUACAAAGAGAAGCGACCUCGCGAGAGCAAGCGGACCUCAUAAAGUGCGUCGUAGUCCGGAUUGGAGUCUGCAACUCGACUCCAUGAAGUCGGAAUCGCUAGUAAUCGUGGAUCAGAAUGCCGCGGUGAAUACGUUCCCGGGCCUUGUACACACCGCCCGUCACACCAUGGGAGUGGGUUGCAAAAGAAGUAGGUAGCUUAACCUUCGGGAGGGCGCUACCACUUUGUGAUUCAUGACUGGGGUGAAGUCGUAACAAGAUA